UACAGAGGUCUCAAGCGUUGUUCGGAUUUAUUGGGCGUAAAGGGUGCGCAGGCUGUAUGGUAAGUUUGGUGUGAAAUCCUGGGGCUUACCCCAGAAUUGCACUGAAUACUGCCGUGCUAGAGGACUGGAGAGGAGAUUGGAAUUCACGGUGUAGCAGUGAAAUGCGUAGAUAUCGUGAGGAAGACCAGUGGCGAGGGCGAAUCUCUGGACCAGUUCCUGACGCUCAUGCACGAAGGCCAGGGGAGCAAACGGG
rnacentral:rRNA from 1 species